rnacentral:tRNA from 1 species
UCCGGUGUAGCCAAGCGGUAAGGCAUCGCACUGUUAAUGCGAAAACCGGGGGUUCGAUUCCCUCCGCCGGAG